rnacentral:rRNA from 1 species
GCGGCAGGCCUAACACAUGCAAGUCGAACGGUAACAGGAAGAAGCUUGCUUCUUUGCUGACGAGUGGCGGACGGGUGAGUAAUGUCUGGGAAACUGCCUGAUGGAGGGGGAUAACUACUGGAAACGGUAGCUAAUACCGCAUAACGUCGCAAGACCAAAGAGGGGGACCUUCGGGCCUCUUGCCAUCGGAUGUGCCCAGAUGGGAUUAGCUAGUAGGUGGGGUAACGGCUCACCUAGGCGACGAUCCCUAGCUGGUCUGAGAGGAUGACCAGCCACACUGGAACUGAGACACGGUCCAGACUCCUACGGGAGGCAGCAGUGGGGAAUAUUGCACAAUGGGCGCAAGCCUGAUGCAGCCAUGCCGCGUGUAUGAAGAAGGCCUUCGGGUUGUAAAGUACUUUCAGCGGGGAGGAAGGGAGUAAAGUUAAUACCUUUGCUCAUUGACGUUACCCGCAGAAGAAGCACCGGCUAACUCCGUGCCAGCAGCCGCGGUAAUACGGAGGGUGCAAGCGUUAAUCGGAAUUACUGGGCGUAAAGCGCACGCAGGCGGUUUGUUAAGUCAGAUGUGAAAUCCCCGGGCUCAACCUGGGAACUGCAUCUGAUACUGGCAAGCUUGAGUCUCGUAGAGGGGGGUAGAAUUCCAGGUGUAGCGGUGAAAUGCGUAGAGAUCUGGAGGAAUACCGGUGGCGAAGGCGGCCCCCUGGACGAAGACUGACGCUCAGGUGCGAAAGCGUGGGGAGCAAACAGGAUUAGAUACCCUGGUAGUCCACGCCGUAAACGAUGUCGACUUGGAGGUUGUGCCCUUGAGGCGUGGCUUCCGGAGCUAACGCGUUAAGUCGACCGCCUGGGGAGUACGGCCGCAAGGUUAAAACUCAAAUGAAUUGACGGGGGCCCGCACAAGCGGUGGAGCAUGUGGUUUAAUUCGAUGCAACGCGAAGAACCUUACCUGGUCUUGACAUCCACAGAACUUUCCAGAGAUGGAUUGGUGCCUUCGGGAACUGUGAGACAGGUGCUGCAUGGCUGUCGUCAGCUCGUGUUGUGAAAUGUUGGGUUAAGUCCCGCAACGAGCGCAACCCUUAUCCUUUGUUGCCAGCGGUCCGGCCGGGAACUCAAAGGAGACUGCCAGUGAUAAACUGGAGGAAGGUGGGGGUGACGUCAAGUCAUCAUGGCCCUUACGACCAGGGCUACACACGUGCUACAAUGGCGCAUACAAAGAGAAGCGACCUCGCGAGAGCAAGCGGACCUCAUAAAGUGCGUCGUAGUCCGGAUUGGAGUCUGCAACUCGACUCCAUGAAGUCGGAAUCGCUAGUAAUCGUGGAUCAGAAUGCCACGGUGAAUACGUUCCCGGGCCUUGUACACACCGCCCGUCACACCAUGGGAGUGGGUUGCAAAAGAAGUAGGUAGCUUAACCUUCGGGAGGGCGCUUACCACUUUGUGAUUCAUGACUGGGGUGAAGUAA